UUGCAAAGGAGUAUGUUCGGUAAGGUCCUAAAAUGGCCCCCAUUUUUAGCGUCAAUUUCAAAUUCGGAUUUAUUGACCAAUAUCACAAUAAAUUAUAGCUUAUACAGUGACUAGAUAGGAAAUAAGCCAUUUUGUUGAAAAUUUUACGUUUUUGCGUUUCAUUAUGACGUCACAAGUUGUACUCAUAUUGAUUUUUCACGAAAAAAUCAAUGAAAAUGGGUAAAUUUUCCAUAGAUUAUUAGACAGGAAACAUAGAGCGCAUACGUCGACAACAAAGAUCUUUUAAUAUAAUGUUUGUGAAGACAUUUCACAUGUUUUAUUUGAAUAUUUAGUUUGUCGACGCCUGCGCUCUAUCUUUCCUGGUCCUUAAAUUGGUUGAAAUCCAGCUGUUUUUGUCAAAUUUCACCAAAACCCUUUAUUUUGACCUAUUUGGGAUAUAAAAAUCAACGUGUUAGAAUAAAAUUUUCACAAAAAACAGUUCUGUUAAACUUUCUCACAUGUCUUUAAGGCAACUUAAAACAUUUAUUGUCUUGUAACUAUGAACUUUAUAAUUGGGGCCAAAUAUGGC
rnacentral:lncRNA from 1 species